CAGAGAAACUUGUUUCUCGGGUGGCGAGCGGCGGACGGGUGAGUAAUGCCUGGGAAAUUGCCCUGAUGUGGGGGAUAACCAUUGGAAACGAUGGCUAAUACCGCAUGAUAGCUUCGGCUCAAAGAGGGGGACCUUCGGGCCUCUCGCGUCAGGAUAUGCCCAGGUGGGAUUAGCUAGUUGGUGAGGUAAGGGCUCACCAAGGCGACGAUCCCUAGCUGGUCUGAGAGGAUGAUCAGCCACACUGGAACUGACGACACGGUCCAGACUCCUACGGGAGGCAGCAGUGGGGAAUAUUGCACAAUGGGCGCAAGCCUGAUGCAGCCAUGCCGCGUGUGUGAAGAAGGCCUUCGGGUUGUAAAGCACUUUCAGUCGUGAGGAAGGUGGUAGUGUUAAUAGCACUAUCAUUUGACG
rnacentral:rRNA from 1 species